rnacentral:rRNA from 1 species
UGAGUUUGAUCCUGGCUCAGGGUGAACGCUGGCGGCAUGCUUUACACAUGCAAGUUGAACGAAUUAAAGUUUUCGAAUUUUAGUUAAGUAGCGAACGGGUGAGUAAAACGUAAGAAUCUAUUUUUAGGUGAGGAAUAACUAAUGGAAACGUUAGCUAAUACCUUAUAAACUGAGAAGUGAAAAACUAAAAAUUGCCUAAAAGUGAGCUUGCGCCUGAUUAGCUUGUUGGUAAGAUAAUCGCUUACCAAAGCGACGAUCAGUAGUUGAUCUAAGAGGAUAAUCAACCACACUGGGACUGAGAUACGGC